rnacentral:rRNA from 1 species
UGAGGAAUAUUCCGCAAUGGACGCAAGUCUGACGGAGCAACGCCGCGUGCAGGAGGACGGCCUUCGGGUUGUAAACUGCUUUUCCCAGGGAAGAGAACGGACGGUACCUGGGGAAGAAGCCCCGGCUCACUACGUGCCAGCAGCCGCGGUAAUACGUAGGGGGCGAGCGUUGUCCGGACUUAUUGGGCGUAAAGAGCACGCAGGCGGUUGGCCAAGUUCGCAGUGCCACUCCCCGGCUUAACCGGGGACCGAUUGCGAAAACUGGUGGACUGGAGAGCGAGAGAGGGACAUGGAACUCCGGGUGGAGCAGUGACAUGCGUAGAGAUCCGGAAGAACACCAAGGCGAAGGCAGUGUCCUGGCUCGUAUCUGACGCUGAGGUGCGAAAGCCAGGGGAGCGAACGGGAUUAGAUACCCCCGUAGUCC